GUGUCAGCCGCCGCGGUAAUACGGAGGGUGCAAGCGUUAUCCGGAAUCAUUGGGUUUAAAGGGUCCGCAGGCGGACUUAUAAGUCAGUGGUGAAAGCCUGAUGCUCAACAUCAGAACUGCCAUUGAUACUGUAAGUCUUGAAUUCGGUCGAAGUGGGCGGAAUGUGACAUGUAGCGGUGAAAUGCUUAGAUAUGUCACAGAACACCGAUAGCGAAGGCAGCUCACUAGGCCUGGAUUGACGCUCAUGGACGAAAGCGUGGGGAGCAAACAGGAUUAGAAACCCGCGUAGUCC
rnacentral:rRNA from 1 species